UAGAGCACUCGCCUUCUAAGCGAGUGGUUGCAGGUUCAAGUCCUGCCGG
rnacentral:tRNA from 1 species